ACUAGAGUAGCACUCGCAUAUCAAUAAGCGGAGGAAAAGAAACUAACAAGGAUUCCCCUAGUAACGGCGAGUGAAGCGGGAAGAGCUCAAAUUUGAAAUCUUAAAGGGUUUCCCUUUACGAAUUGUAGUUUAAAGAAGUGUUUUCUGUUGGAGCUUCGGUAAAAGUUCUUUGGAAUAGGACAUCAUAGAGGGUGAGAAUCCCGUAUUUGACCGUUACUUUCCAGCUGUGUGAUACACUUUCAAAGAGUCGGAUUGUUUGGGAAUGCAGUCCAAAAUGGGUGGUAAAUUUCAUCUAAAGCUAAAUAUUGGCGAGAGACCGAUAGCGAACAAGUACCGUGAGGGAAAGAUGAAAAGAACUUUGAAAAGAGAGUUAAACAGUACGUGAAAUUGUCAAAAGGGAAGCGUUUGACACCAGUGUUGUUUAGUUGAAAAUCAAUUCAAUAAUUUUUGAUUUUAAGUAGUAUUGACUUCAUCAGCUUGCUGCUUUCUUUUCAGGAAUUAUUGAAUGCACUUUUCAGUUAACAAGUCAACAUCAAUUUCUUUUGUUGUAAAAGGGUAAGAGGAAGGUGGCUUACGCUUCGGCGUAAGUGUUUAUAGCCUUUUACCUCUGCAAUCGGAGAGAUUGAGGACAGCAGCGUAGACUCUUCGGGGUUAGAUACACUUGUGCUAAGCUAUAGCCUUGUAUAGACAACUUGUUGACUAUGCUCAGUCAUGUAGCUUACUCGCUUGUGCUAUUUUACCUACGCUUAGGAUGUUGAAGAUGUAGCACAUCAU
rnacentral:rRNA from 1 species